UGCCGCUUCAGGUCAGGAGUGUCCUAGGGG
rnacentral:piRNA from 1 species